rnacentral:lncRNA from 1 species
AUGCCGACAGCCUGGCUCUUCCAGGCCACGUCUCUGAUACGUAUGAGGAAUGGCCGCUCCCGAGACCAUUUCUGUCCACAGCCGGGCUCCACGUCCCCGUGGCCAGAAGACUCACCACAGUGCUCUCAGGUACGCGAGGCCACGGCCAGUCCGCCCCUUGAGGGAUGCGUGGGGGCGCUUCGCCCAGGGAGUGAGCAGAGAGGAAGGGAGGAGGUGGGGAGGCAGCUACCGACUACUGCUGGUAUUCACGUGACUGGGAGACCAGCCCCCAAACAUCCACCCUGGGCCCCCCGCCUGCUCACUGCAGGACAGCAGCACAUGGCCCUGGACCACUCGGGCCCUGGGUUUGCAUCCUGGCACGGCCGCGUACUAGCUAUGUGACCUGGGGCGAGUUACCUACCCUCUCUGCACCCCAGUUCCCUCAUCUGUAAGUUAAGAAUCAUGCUGCUGAUACUAAUACCUAUCACAGAGCUGCUGGGCACUAGUAUUCAUAAAGCUAGAAAUUAAUGAGUAAACUGUGUCUCUGAACCUCGGCUUUCCCGGCUGUAAAAUCAUAGAAUUUUCCUGAGGGACAAAUGGAAUGGAGAAUGGUGGCUACUUAACACAAUCCCCGGAACAUAGCCCAUGGUAAGUAGUGGCUACAGUCCCUCACCACUGGCAUCAUCCUUGUAAUCUCCCCAUCGUCCCCAUCGUUUGCAAGGGGGACAGUGGUGUCUUUGCCCCGAAAUGCACAGGGCUGGAGGGAAGGCACCUGAAAUUCAAGAAUACCUCACAAAGGCAUUGUUCUUAUUGUUUCUGUUCCCCCCCAAAAAGCUGAGCUCUGCUUCUUUGAAUCCCUGAACACAUCUUCUCAAAAACUGACUUCAAGUUCCUGCACCACAUUUAUUAGGAUGUUCACCCUGCAGUUCUAGGCUCCCUGAACCAGAAGUCUCAUGCUUCCCUCAGUCCAAGGGUUAGGGGCCCCCAUCUGGUCCUUGGGGUGCAGGAAGAUUGCCCCAGACCCCAGCCAGCUAGAACCCAGUGUCACCAGAAGGAAACACCCAUUGUAUCAAUUAAGCCUCUGACCUCUGAGUGCUCAGCCUUCCUCUGCCCCCAACCACUGUGAAUACACACACACACACACACACACCACACACACACACACAACACACACACACACACACACACACACACACACACACACACACACACACAGUCUCCUUGGCCAAGGAACCCAAGAUUAGUUGGGCAACAAGCCAAAACCUCCCCUCACCAAAAACAUCUUCACAUUUUACAUUCUCUCUCACCUGCCACAACAAAAUGCCACCGAGUCUCUGGCCCCUCCCCACUGAACCGAUCUCAUCAGUGUCAGGCAUUUACACAUCAACUAGGCAUCACAUGA